rnacentral:rRNA from 1 species
UCCGGUUGAUCCUGCCGGACCUGACUGCUAUCGGAUUGAUACUAAGCCAUGCAAGUCUUUGUAGUAAUACAAGGCAUACGGCUCAGUAACGCGUAGUCAACCUACCCUAUGGAUGGGGAUAAUCUCGGGAAACUGAGCAUAAUACCCAACAGAUCAUCAAUUCUGGAAUGGUUGAUGGUUCAAAUGAUUUUUCGCCAUAGGAUGGGACUGCGGCCUAUCAGCUUGUUGGUGAGGUAAUGGCCCACCAAGGCAAUUACAGGUACGGGCUCUGAGAGGAGAAGCCCGGAGAUGGGUACUGAGACAAGGACCCAGGCCCUAUGGGGCGCAGCAGGCGAGAAAACUUUGCAAUGUGCGAAAGCACGACAAGGUUAAUCCGAGUGAUUUCUGCUAAAGGAAUCUUUUACCAGUUCUAAAAAUACUGGCGAAUAAGGGGUGGGCAAGUUCUGGUGUCAGCCGCCGCGGUAAAACCAGCACCUCAAGUGGUCAGGAGGAUUAUUGGGCCUAAAGCAUCCGUAGCCGGCUCUGUAAGUUUUCGGUUAAAUCUAUAUGCUCAACGUAUAGGCUGCCGAAAAUACUGCACAGCUAGGGAAUGGGAGAGGUAGACGGUACUCGGUAGGAAGGGGUAAAAUCCUUUGAUCUAUCGAUGACCACCUGUGGCGAAGGCGGUCUACCAGAACAUGUUCGACGGUGAGGGAUGAAAGCUGGGGGAGCAAACCGGAUUAGAUACCCGGGUAGUCCCAGCUGUAAACGAUGCAGACUCGAUAAUGCACUGGCACAUAGCCAGUGCAGUGUCGCAGGGAAGCCGUUAAGUCUGCCGCCUGGGAAGUACGUACGCAAGUAUGAAACUUAAAGGAAUUGGCGGGGGAGCACCACAAGGGGUGAAGCCUGCGGUUCAAUUGGAGUCAACGCCGGA